rnacentral:rRNA from 1 species
UACGGGGGGGAGCAAGCGUUGUUCGGAUUUACUGGGCGUAAAGGGCGCGUAGGCGGUCAGCACAAGUCAGUUGUGAAAUCUCCGGGCUUAACUCGGAAAGGUCAACUGAUACUGUGCGACUAGAGUGCAGAAGGGGCAACUGGAAUUCUCGGUGUAGCGGUGAAAUGCGUAGAUAUCGAGAGGAACACCGGUGGCGAAGGCGGCAUCCUGGACCACGACUGACGCUGAGUGAGCGAAAGCCAGGGGAGCAAACGGG